GCAGGGGCCGGCUGUGGGAGCCUUGACUGCCGGACCGUGGAACCCAGGCUCAGAGCCUCGGGCAGGCUUUAGGCUGGGGAAUGACGGAUCAGAUUUGCGUGUACGAAGAUGCUUUGGAAGAUAAACUAGAGAUGACUCAGAGGGAAGGAGGCUGCUGUGGACUGAGUUGCGCCCCCAUUUGACGGUGGUAUUUGGAGAAAGAGGUGAUCAGGUCAGACGAGCUCAGGAGUGCGGGAUCCCCAGGACGGCAUUAGUGCCUUUGUAAAAGAGACAUCACAGAGAUUGCUUCCUCUCUCCCCUCCACGUGUGGACACAGCACGAGAAGGUGGCGUCUGUAAGCCAGGAAGAGGGCUCACCAGGAACCUGACCACGCCGGCCCCCGGACCACAGACCUCCAGCUUCCAGAACGGUGCAGAGUAAACUCCUGGGUUUAAGCCACCCGUCUGUGGGAUUUAAGGGGCCCCCAGCAGACUAAUGCGGAGGCUGAUUGCAGAGUGACCAUGGGGGCCGUGGCCGACGUCCAGGGAGAGGAGGGAGGGGUCUGUGCCUCGCCAGGCCCUGUGCAUUGGCCCCAUCCCACCGGGAUCUUCCCAGGGCGGCCCAGCACGGCAACUGGCUCACCCAUCUGAACCUGUGAUAACAGGUGCCGACAACGCCACGAAUCCUCACUCUGGACACAAGUCAGGUGACCCCGUCAUCCAGGCGAGCUCCUGGGGUGGGUGGGAAGGCAAGCUGUGAAGUGCAGGCGUGGCUCACACGGCCCAGCGCAGGGGCCCGAGGUGGGUGUUCUGUGCUGACUGCAGCCAGGAAGGCAGAGCACGUGGGCAGAGCCGGCCCCACCCACAGCCUCGGGGCCAGGACAAGCGUCCACGUGGAGGCCCACCGUCCACACGCCCAAUUAGGCCGAGUGAGUCAUCAGGGUGUUACCUUCCAACAGGCUGCUAAAGGAAACACGUUCUCUUCUCCAGCCUCAACAAAGACCCUUCAGAACCUCGUGGAAGGCCGGCUCCCCGGUCAGGAUGCUCAGGCUGCAAGGAAGACCAUCAGGCACUGGGAGAAGGGACGGAGGGCAGCUGGGCCCAGACUCCAGCCCCCCAACCUGCCCACCCCAGGCCCGUCCUACGCUGUGAGGACUUUGUGCCUGUGUGUGCAGACAUCCCAAACUGCAUGUCCAAGCUAUGUCCGUCUUCUCAAAACACGGCCCAUGGACACUUUUCGGUCUCAGGGACACACACUCCUGCAGGCUGGUCUGCCCUCAGUCAGGCCCAGGGAUACAUGCCUGCAGGCUGGUCUGCCCUCCAGAAGACAGACCCAGCUCUAAACCCACAUGGGCCACGGGCUAGGCUUGGGGACAUUUGGUGGGGAAUGCCAGGUCCGAGGUACCUGGAACAUGGCCUAAAACCAAGUGUGAGCUUCAGCAUUGAUUCGCUCAAUGAUGCUACGGUUGGAGAUUUGCUGACAGAUCUGUUGGGAAGAAGAGGCCAUCAUUCUAGAAGCUUCCAGGCCACUGGCUGGCGCUAUCUUCACCCGGUGCCUCUGGAGGUGGUCGGUCAGCACAGGCUAGCUUAUGCCAUGGGUGUGGUCCAUCUGGUGAGGGUUAAGUGACCUCCGGGUGGAGCACGCCCCAAGGAAGGACGCGUGGAAACCACAAAAGGC
ensembl:lncRNA